GGGGAUUUAGCUCAGUGGUAGAGCACUUGCCUAGCAAGCACAAGGCCCUGGGUUCAGGCCCCAGCUCCG
rfam:Rattus norvegicus chromosome 5, whole genome shotgun sequence.